rnacentral:lncRNA from 1 species
GGACAGUUACGGCGAUCGGGCCACAGGAGGAGGACGGGGGAGCGGCGACGGCCGAGGAGGCGGCGGCAGAGGGCGGCGGCGGGGAGAGGGAUCUCUCGACCGCGAUCAUGGCGGAGGCGGCCUGUUCCUCCUUGAGGCGGAGGUCGCGGUAACACUUGGAGCAGAGGUUGAGGGUGGCGGGGCUUCCGAAGAAGCCGCAGUUGUUGGCGCACAGCCGGUGGCCAUCUUGGCAUCGCUGUUCCUCCGCCAUCGUCCUGCCUCUUCUUUCUCCCUUCCGAUCGAUCAAUCCAAACAAACAAAAGGCACGAAUUCUGCACCAAAUAAACCAACAAGCCUCAGAUAACGAAGAACAACGACCGAGAUCUGCCUCUAGGGUUCCGGACAAGAUCAAGACGUCAAGGCAAAGAAAGAAUCGCGGAUCAGAAGAAAUCGAUCAUGCUUCAAUAUUAAGUCAGGAAUAGCGUGAAGAACCAAACCUAAUCGAC